rnacentral:rRNA from 1 species
AUCAAAAACAUGGCCUUUUGAAAAAUAAUUUAAGGUCUAGCCNGCCCACUGAAGUUUAAAGGGCCGCGGUAACUUGACCGUGCUAAGGUAGCAUAAUCAUUAGUUUUUUAAUUAAAAGCUGGAAUGAAUGGUUGGAUGAGAGAGCGACUGUCUCUAUUUAAUUUUAAUUGAAUUUUAUAUUUAAGUUAAAAAGCUUAAAUAAUAUUUAAAGACGAGAAGACCCUUUAGAGUUUAAUAGUUUUAUAUUAAUGAUAUUUUUAGAAUUAUAAUUUUAUUGGUAAAUAAUUAUUUGAUUGGGGAGAUUGUAAAAUUUAAUAAACUUUUAUUUUUUUAAUACAUAAAUUUAUGAGUAUUUGAUCCAUAGGGAAAUGAUUACAAGAUUAAAUUACCUUAGGGAUAACAGCGUAAUUUUUUUUGAGAGUUCAAAUCGAAAAAAAAGGUUGCGACCUCGAUGUUGGAUUAAAAUUUAUCUNUGGUGUAGAAGCUAAAGUAUUAG